AGAGUUUGAUCCUGGCUCAGAACGUACGCUGGCGGCACGCCUAACACAUGCAAGUCGAACGAAGUAGCAAUACUUAGUGGCAGACGGGUGAGUGACAUGUAGGUAUCUGCCCUUUGGCCUGGAAUAACACGAGGAAACUUGUGCUAAUACCGGAUAAGUCUUUACGGAGAAAGCUUUAUGCACCAUUGGAUGAGCCUGCACUUGAUUAGUUUGUUGGUGGGGUAAUGGCCUACCAAGACUGUGAUCAAUAGCUGAUUUGAGAGGAUGAUCAGCCACAUUGGGACUGAGACACGGCCCAAACUCCUACGGGAGGCAGCAGUGGGGAAUCUUGCACAAUGGAGGAAACUCUGAUGCAGCGAUGCCGCGUGAGUGAAGAAGGCCCUUGGGUUGUAAAGCUCUUUCGUCGGGGAAGAAAAUGACUGUACCCGAAUAUGAAGGUCCGGCUAACUUCGUGCCAGCAGCCGCGGUAAUACGAAGGGACCUAGCGUAGUUCGGAAUUACUGGGCUUAAAGAGUUCGUAGGUGGUUGAAAAAGUUGGUGGUGAAAUCCCAGAGCUUAACUCUGGAACUGCCAUCAAAACUUUUCAGCUAGAGUAUGAUAGAGGAAAGCAGAAUUUCUAGUGUAGAGGUGAAAUUCGUAGAUAUUAGAAAGAAUACCAAUUGCGAAGGCAGCUUUCUGGAUCAUUACUGACACUGAGGAACGAAAGCAUGGGUAGCGAAGAGGAUUAGAUACCCUCGUAGUCCAUGCCGUAAACGAUGUGUGUUAGACGUUGGAAAUUUAUUUUCAGUGUCGCAGCGAAAGCGAUAAACACACCGCCUGGGGAGUACGACCGCAAGGUUAAAACUCAAAUGAAUUGACGGGGACCCGCACAAGUAGUGGAGCAUGUGGUUUAAUUCGAAGAUACGCGCAGAACCUUACCAACACUUGACAUGUUCGUCGCGACUCUAAGAGAUUAGAGUUUUCGGUUCGGCCGGACGAAACACAGGUGCUGCAUGGCUGUCGUCAGCUCGUGUCGUGAGAUGUUGGGUUAAGUCCCGCAACGAGCGCAACCCUCACUUUUAGUUGCCAUCAUUUAGUUGGGCACUCUGAAAGAACUGCCAGUGAUAAGCUGGAGGAAGGUGGGGAUGACGUCAAGUCCUCAUGGCCCUUACGUGUUGGGCUACACACGUGCUACAAUGGUAUCUACAACAGGAAGCAAGACUGCGAAGUUAAGCAAAUCCUUAAAAGAUACCUCAGUUCGGAUUGCACUCUGCAACUCGAGUGCAUGAAGCUGGAAUUACUAGUAAUCGUGGAUCAGCGUGCCACGGUGAAUGCGUUCCCGGGUCUUGUACACACCGCCCGUCACACCAUGGGAGUUGGUUCUACCUUAAGGCAAGGUUUUAAACCCUUGACCACGGUAUAGUCAGCGACUGGGGUGAAGUCGUAACAAGGUAACC
rnacentral:rRNA from 1 species